CCUACGGGUGGCAGCAGUGGGGGAUAUUGCACAAUGGGGGGAACCCUGAUGCAGCGACGCCGCGUGGGGGAAGAAGCGCCUCGGCGCGUAAAGCCCUGUCAGCAGGGAAGAAAAUGACGGUACCUGAAGAAGAAGCCCCGGCUAACUACGUUCCAGCAGCCGCGGUAAUACGGAGGGGGCGAGCGAUAUCCGGAUUUACUGGGGGGAAAGGGGGCGCAGACGGCGAUGCAAGCCAGGAGUGAAAGCCCGGGGCUCAACCCCGGGACUGAUCUUGGAACUGCGUGGCUGGAGUGCAGGAGGGGGAGGCGGAAUUCCUGGUGUAGCGGUGAAAUGCGUAGAUAUGAGGAGGAACACCGGUGGCGAAGGCGGCCUGCUGGACUGCAACUGACGUUGAGGCCCGAAAGCGUGGGGAGCAAACAGGAUUAGAGACCCGAGUAGUC
rnacentral:rRNA from 1 species